UUUUAUGGAGAGUUUGAUCCUGGCUCAGGAUGAACGCUGGCGGCGUGCCUAAUACAUGCAAGUCGAGCGAACGGAUGAGAAGCUUGCUUCUCUGAUGUUAGCGGCGGACGGGUGAGUAACACGUGGAUAACCUACCUAUAAGACUGGGAUAACUUCGGGAAACCGGAGCUAAUACCGGAUAAUAUUUUGAACCGCAUGGUUCAAAAGUGAAAGACGGUCUUGCUGUCACUUAUAGAUGGAUCCGCGCUGCAUUAGCUAGUUGGUAAGGUAACGGCUUACCAAGGCAACGAUGCAUAGCCGACCUGAGAGGGUGAUCGGCCACACUGGAACUGAGACACGGUCCAGACUCCUACGGGAGGCAGCAGUAGGGAAUCUUCCGCAAUGGGCGAAAGCCUGACGGAGC
rnacentral:rRNA from 1 species